UAAUGUCCAACUGAAAUUUCACAAGAUUGUAAACUAUCAUAAACUCAAUAAAAAUUAACUUAAAAAAAAAGCAGCUGGGAAAAAGGAGGCAAUAGAAGACAGCAAGAAGGGGUGAGCCAUAGUUUAUGAUGAAAAAGAGAGGAGUAUCCUGGAAGCUGGACUGACUGUGUAUUCAGGAUUAUGGUAGACACCUGAAUACAUAAUGAACAGGACGUGGUCUCUGCCUCUGCUCCUGUUUUAAUUUGCUCCAUGGUUCAACUCUUCAGUUAAUGGCACUACCUAGUCCAUCAUGCCUGAAAACUUGGAGUCAUCUUUUAUUUGUCCUUCAUACUCUCACAUCUAUUGGGUUAGCCACGUUUUACUGACAAAACAUCGUUUUAAAUUAUAGCAUACUAGUGGGAAAAGUGCACAAGUCUUGAGUAUCUACCUCAAUGAUUUUUUUUAACAAUCUAAACACACUAUCAUAACAACCCCCCAGAUCAAGACAUUCACUAUUCUGGCUCUCCAGAAGCCUCUAUCGUGACCCUUUGCAGAAUUUGCUCCCACCCAAGGUAACCACUACUCUGACUUCUAUCGCUGUAGCUUAGUUUUGCCAGUUUUUGAGUUCAGGUAGAUGGAAUUAUACUCUAUGUACUCCUUUCUACCAGGCUCCUUUUAUUAAACAUCCUGUCUGAGAUUCAUUCAUGUUGUUACAGGUAAUUGGUUGGUUUUUAUAUAGCUCUAUAGAUCUGAUUAUUAUUGCAUAAUGCAUUAGUUUUGGUUAUUGAUAACUGCAUAACAUGCCAAUCCAAACUUAGUGGAGUGAAACAACAACCAUUGUAUUAGUCGGAUUCUGUGGGUUAGGAAUUUGGUAGGGAGAAAUUGCCGUGCUCGCUGAUGGUUGGGGUCUAGAAUGAUUUAGAGGCUCUUUCACUCACAUGGAUGGUACCUUGGCUGGGAUGUCUUGAAGUCCAAAAUCCUCUGGGGUCGUUCACAAGGGCACCUACAUUUCCUGUUUUGAAAAGUGGCUGUUUUAUUUUUCCAAUGGUACAUCUAAAAUACAAUUUCAAUGGAGAUGGAAACUUCUACUUGAAAGUUGCUCUACUUCUUUGCCACUUUUGGGACCCAGGUGACCUGUUCAGAUAGUGUUCACCUAUUGCUGAUACAAAGGCUGUACUGGGGUUGGUGAUCAUGUAUGACCAGAGGAAAGUUAAUGUCACUAUAAGAUGCAGAGAUUCCUUUGAGGAUGGAGGACGUUUAUGAAAUGCUUGGUGAGCACAGUCUGUCUGGUAUUGGAUAAAAUCACAAGAAUUUGGGGAUGAACUCCUGCCUCCUCAUCCUGGCCCCUGGUCUUGAGAUACCAAGUAUAAGUGGACAUGGUGUGCGUCAGGGCUUGUGUUGGUGGUCUAUUUUCUUCAGUGCAUAUGGUUCAUCUUCUGUUUGGGAACGAAGUCUUAUCACCUGAUCACCAGCAUAGCAGUUGCUAUGAAGGUGGCUGUGCCCUGGUUGCAGAUUCUCCAUGAGGAGAUUCUCCAUGAGGCCUUAGCUCUUCACAGCUUGUUGGCUGGCUUCCCUGAGCAAGCUUCCUGAGAGUGGCAUGUCCUUGGAAGUCACAGCCCACCACUUCCACAGAGCAACGCUUCUAUUCUGUUGAUUGAAGUAGGUACACGCCUGCCUAGAUUCAAGAGGAGGGAACCUAAACCUCACAUAUUUAUGGGUUGUGACUCCAAGAAUUUGUGGCCAUUUUUUAAAACCACCAUGAACUAGAUACCAGAAGUGAUUUAUCCAUUCUAUCGUAGAUGGAUAUUUGAGUACUUUCUACUUUGGAGGAAUGAAGAGAAUGAUGCUCUAAUCAUUCUUGCUCCUUCCUCUUGGUUCAAAUGUUUAUAUUUUAGUUGAGUGCACAUCUAAGAGUAGAAUUGCUGGUCAUGUUGUAUGUGUGUCUCCAGCUUUAACAGAUAGAUCCUGCCAAAAAGCUUUCCCAAGUGGCUGCACGAAUUCCUACUCCUAACAGCAAAGUGUGAGCCUUCCAGUUGCCCUGCAGCCUGCCCUCCACUUGCUGCCAUCGGCUCAGCAUUUCAAAUCUGUCUUUAACCAUUCUCUGGUUGUAUAGAAGAUCUCAGUGUGGUUGAAUUGUCAUUUCCCUGGUACCUACUGAUUUUAGCACAUUUGCAUGUGCUUGUUGGCCGUUGGGACACUCUGUGUUGUGAAGUGCCUGUUCAACUCUUUUGCCCAGUUUUAAGCAAUUGGUUUCUUUGUCUUCUUUCUUACUGUAAUGCUGAAGAUUUUCUGUAUUCUGCAUGAGAAUCCUUUGUUGAAUAUUCGAAUUGGAACAAUCUCUUCGCAUCCUGUGACUUGCCAAUUCCCUCUUGUAAUAUGGCUCAUGAUGAACUGAAAGUCUAAAUUUUAAUGAAUCCAAGUUUACCGAUCUUUUCUUUUAUGAAGAGUGUGUGUAUGUGUGCAUUUGUGUGUCUUCUUUAAGAAGUUUUUGCUACCCUGUCAUCCUGAAGAUGUUUUCUUAUGUUGUCUUCUAGAAGCUUUAUUAUUUUACCUUUCACCUAUAGGUCAAAGUGUCCAGGAAUUCAGUUUUGUGUGUUGUGAGGGUAGGGGUCAAGGUUUCUUUUAUAUGCAUAUGCUUAUCUCUAGGAGUAAUAACAGGCAGCAUUGGGACAGGUGGACACAAGCCUGGGAGUUAGGGGUCCUGUAUUCUCAGCUUUAACCUCCCUUUAAAGCACCCUAUGAACUUGAGCAGGUGAUUUUCCCAGUUCUCCCUCCUCUCGGGCUCCCUCCUUCCUUCCUUUUUUCCUUCUAUCCUUCCUUCCACACUCCCUCCCUCCAUUCCUUCCUUCCUUCCAUCUAUCCAUCCAUCUGUCCAGAUAUCAAUCUGUCCAACUGUCCUCCUGCCCGUUCGCCUGUUUUUCCUUCUUCUCUCCUUCCAUCCUCUUUCCUCCCAUCUCUCCAACUUCUCUUCCUUGUGUGUAUUCUUCCUGUUUUCCCUUUGACCCUCCAUUUGUCCAUUCUUCCUUUGUCCAUCCAGGUAUCCCCUCUGUCUGUGCCUCUACCUCUCUCUUUGUUCCGUCUCUCUCUUCAACCACACUCACUCUCUUGGGUUCAUCUCCUUCACAAGCUUGCUCAUCCCUCUACUCACACAAUCCCUCCUUCUGUCACUCACAUUUAUGGCUCACCUGUGAAUGGUUGUCCUUGGACAGCCACUACUGAGUGCAGAUGAGCCUGUGGGGCUUCACCCACUGUGUGGGGGGCUCUGUCCCACCCUAACAAGAGCCCUUUCCACAGCUCCUGAGCCAGGAAGCAAGUUCUUGCCUACUUCCUCAUCACCUGAGCAACCGGAAGCCACCACAGGCCUAGAAGGCCCCUCUUCCUUAGCCAGAGGAGCUCUCCAGCCCCACACCUCCACUGCCAAAUUAUCACUUGGGAGCUGGAAAGCCAAGCUAUGGGGCACGAGCUGAAGGCCCUCACACUGAAGUUCAGCAUCUCCAACCUCCAAUAUUCAACAGACGUGAGAAAGGGCUCAGCGACAUUUAACUCCACUGAGAGAGUCCUGCAGUGCAGUCCUGCAGUGCUGGAUGAGACCCUGGUGCCCGCAGCUCCUGGGCCUGUGGAGGAUGGGGCAGCCACUAGCGUGGAAGCUGUCUGCACCUACCACCCUGACCCCAUGGCUCGUGAUGGAGAGUAUGACAGAGACACCAGGUGACAGCAGCAUUCCUGGGAGCUUAACCAGCUGACUCACUGUGUCACCCCGAGGGGACUCUACUCCCUGCUCAGGGACAGCCUUUUUGUCAGUGGUACACUUAUCAUUCUUGCCAACACCAGAUGAGGAAACUGAGGCACUGAUGAGGUGAGUAACUUGCCCACUACCAAUAUCUAGGAAGUGAUUGAGCUGGAAUUUGAACAUAAGAUAUUGUCUCCAUAUUCUCUGCUCUUAAUCAUGUUCUUUGCUCUCUAAGACUUCACACCAUGAAGACGUUGGCUCAGCAUAUCCAUUUUCUUGUUACACCCAGUAGCCCCAUUCUUUGAUCUCAGUCUGAAAAACUGUUGCACAUACACACCAAAAUGACUUCUCCCCAUAUCCCAUGUCCUGGAAAAUACAUAGAGAACAUUUCAAAGCCUUUCUUGCCCAGGCUGGGAGUGCUUCUGGGAAAUUCCACUGUUCCUCUAAGGAGCCAAGGGAAGGCUGGGAGCUGAGUCUCAGGGGAAAGGUGACCUCAGGCGUUACCUGGAAUUACAAAAUGGAUGGGAGGCCUCAGCAGGGACUGACUUCAGGAUUGGUGGUGUUUGAAGCUGGGCGCUAAUUUUCUGGCUGUGGGUGUAGGGGCUGGUGCCGCAUUCCAGGGAGAAGGGAUGGCUCCCUGUGUUCUUAGGGGAAACCAGACCCAGGAAAGAGAUGAAAUGAUGGUUUCCAUUCACAGUGGACUUGUGAGGGGAAACAUUCAGCCCAGAAGAGACAGUCAUGUUCCUGAGGUCACCGGAAGAAGCUGCCUCUGCGUCUGCUAAGCAGAAAGCCCUCCUUCAUGGACUCACUUUAUCCAAAUGACACCAAGAAGGAGGAAAUCAUGAGAUGACCUUGCAGAUGUGAGAUCUGUGACGUUGGACACUGUGCCUGGGAGCCCCUGAAAGGCCUCACAGUGGUGACAUUUGCUAUGAGCAGAGUGACAGAUGUGAGGCACGCCUGCCUGUGUCUGGGAACAGUUUGAGUGUCAGGGAGAAGCCACUGCUGGUACAGAGACUCACAGGAAGAAAGGAGUCUGAGCAGAGAAGGGCAGAAAGGUGGCGGUGUGGCUGGAAGGAUCCUGAGAAGAGAGAGGAGGGGAGAUGGGGGCACGGCAGGGAUGGGUGGCAAGACUGGCAGACUGCUUUUUCCUGUCACUCUCUGACGACAUUGCUCCCAGACCAUGCCCCUAGAAAGUACAAAUCCUUAAGCUCUCACAAAGUGUGUGUGCCAGGAAUGGGACAUGGCUUAGCUGGGUGCCUCUGCCUCAAGGUCUCCGUGAAGCUUGGGCUGCGUCUCUAUUGCGGCUCGACUCAGGGAGCAUGUGCUCCCAAGUUCACUCACAUGCAUGUUGACAGGGUUUGUUUGGACGGAAAGCCUGAGUUUCUGCCUGUCUGUCGGCCGAUCAUUCCCUCCGUUCUCUCCUAUGGAGCCUCUACAUAGGGAAAUUGAAAGCAUGUGCACUUGCUCCCCCAGUUCCAGAGAUAUAAGAGGCAGAGAGAGAGAGAGAUGGAAACAGGGGGAGGGAAAGAGGGAGGGGGCUAAAGAAAAUGAGUAAGAAGGAAGGGCCAGGCUUUUUGUUCUUAACCCUGGGUUGUGUGCCAUCCCAACACCUUGGCUGCAUUCUGUUCAGAAGCCAGUUCCUGACCACUGUGUGGUUCCACAAGGAUGUGCAGAGCAGAAGACAGUGAGCACUGGGAGCCGUGGCAGAGGCUGCCCUCCACAUAGGCCAACAUGAGGCACUUGGGUCUGACGCUAAGUCAAACAGGAGACCAUGGAAGGUUUCAUGCCAGUGACUGGAAAUAUCUGAAUUUCCUCUAAUUUCAACCCGUUAAAGGUGCAGACGUGGGAAUGAGGCCCAGAGGGGCAGUGACUUUCUCAAGGUCCAAAAGCUACAACCCAGUCCUGUUUUGAGGGAUACUCCACACGAUAUCCCACCCCUUCUUGUCAUUCUUUCAUCUCUAACUGUGUGCAUCAGACACGCAUGAAACCAGACCACAGGUGUUGUCACUACUAUCUCUUCUAUAGCUGAGGAUGUCACAAGGGAGCUAUUUCUGGUCUCGUCCACAUUGUGCAGGUUGAGAGAUUGAGGAGGCCCUGGGAGGCACAAUGGCAUCUCCAGGACACAGAGCUUCUAGGGAACAAGAGGCCUGAACUCAGCUGAACUCAGCUUCCUCAAGCUGGAAGCCUGGUUCCAUCUCAAGGUCCUGUGUGGGGCUCUCUGCUGGCUAAUUGCGUACAGUUCUGGAGAUGACAUGGGCAAGGAGGAACUGCAUGCAGGAGGUGAUCGAAGAGCUGGCGGAUGGCUUCAGGAACUCCAUCUCCCUGGAUAUGGGGUAGCUCCACUGCGCCACCAUCAAUAAUCAGGGCUGCUCUGAGGUGAGAGUGGGCACGGAGGGUCUUCCCACCCAGGACCCUGAAAUGAUCAUGGCCGGCCAAGAAUCCAAACUCAAACUGCUGUUCUCCUGGGACCCUAACAGGGCUGUCCCCCCUGAGUGUCCCACAGUCCCAUUCCCAAAGAAUCUGCACUUCCGCUCCUCCCCACCAGCUGCAUAGGAGGGUAGGAGGGCACUCUUUGCAUUUUCCUAGGAAGAUUAGAGAAAACAUUGAUGUCGUUGUCACUUCCCACUAGGCCCUGAGUAUCUUUGAAUUUUGCCUUUUUUGGAACAUGGAACCUCGAUAAGUAGGGUCUCCAAACUCCAUUUAAUGUAAGAGAAAUAACUAUCAGCGUGUUUUGGAAGUCAAAGGGAUUCUCAGAGCUUGUCACUGCCCUGUACACUGUUUCCAGACUGGGGAGGCAUGAGGUGGCCACAUAACAUUUCCCUCCAGGUCAGGGUCCGAUGAAGCCUCAGGCAGUUAGAGGGGCAGGCCCUCAGCCCUCCCUUUGGGCGGUAUUCAGUUUUGACCCACAGGACCUAGAGAAGCCACUUGGCAUGCCUAAGCCUCUGUUCUCCUCUCUAGAGAGGGGGUGUCUGUUGAGGAUUCACUGGGCUGGUGCUCUUCACAGAGGGAGGUCUGUUGUCCCUCAGAGAGCAAAUGGCCUCGAUGGAGCUCAAUGUGUAAUCCUUUGCCUGCCCAAAGUCAGGUUGUACUUUGAGAGCCCAGAAUCUUGCUGAGUGUGGGAGCUCCUGUGUCUCCUGUUGCACAUGUCUGGGAGGGGCUAGGAGUUCCUGGGUCAGCUGCAGACCUUGAUAAUGCUGGUGGUUCACAGUGGUGGCCCUGACCCUGCGUCCCUCCUCAUCCUACCCAGCGUGAAGAUGCGUCCACUGUGUCUGUAACGGAGGCCUGCAGGAUGCGUGCCCUCCAGGCAGUCAUGAUGCAGAGGCUCUCAGAGUCUGUGGUGCCAGCCUUCCCUGGUAGAGUCCUCUGCAGUGUCACCACCUCCCUCUACAGCUACUCAGGCUCCAGCACAUCCCACUAGGUCUUGGACCAGCUGUUUCCCAGGUGACUGCCCGCCUCGUCCUCAGCACAGUGGUGACUCUGCCCACUGCCAGCUUUGUGUCUUGUCUUGGGAAUGUCACCACAUCUCUCUGAGCCUGAGUUGGCUCCUCUGAAACGUGGGGUGGGAGAGGAUGAACUUGCUAGGCUUCUCCCAGGGAUGAAUGGGCUCAGCCAUCCAGGUGCUGCCCUGGUGCCUGGCUCUGCAGAGAGGGUGGUGGGCCAUGCUGUGGUUGCUGGUGGUGAUUAUUUGUCUGUCCCCCAUGGAAAGUAGUCUUCCUCUCCCUUCACUGGCUUGUGGCUUUUUGAGUUUGGAAAAGCACCUGGAGAGCACCCUGUCAAGGAGGUUGAGAUGCCAUCCAGCUGGUCCUGGUGCUUGUCCUUGAUAUAGCCAUUUAGGGAUCUCUGUGGACCCAGAGGGGCCCCAGGCCUAUUCAGACACCUGGGAUGGUUCUGGUUGGAGUUCAUUCAACAAUGUCUAUGAAGGACCUACUGUGUGCAGGACAUCUGGACACACUAAGUGUCACUCAAUGAAUGAAGCAGACAGCCUCCCUGGGCCUCCCCUCUAGUCUGAGAGUCAGACGGUCACACUUGACAUCAUCCCUAGGUCCCAUCUACCCUACAUCCCGGGCGAUGCCCUCAUCCCCUUUGGGACACAUGGAGGCAGCUUGGCCCAUUGUGUGCGGGAUGCUGGAGGACAGGACCACCUCCCAAAGUGAGUGGUCUUUGGGUCCAGAUGGAGGGCCUCCUGUCUCUAGCAAACAGGGUGGGGGUUGAGGAUGGAGGCUGUGGCUGGGGCAGGCCUGGGAGAACCCUGCAUCAAACCGAUCUUGUGAUUCCCAUGGGAGGGCUGAGUUCUGGUGGCUUCCACUCCAGCAGGACUGGACUCAAAGAGAGCUGUGCAUGGGUUCCAGGCCCCUUGAGAACCAGAAGGGAGGCUGGGCUGAGUUGUCUCCUAGAGACCCAAUCCCAGCAGAGUCCCAGCUCCUUCUGCCUCCCUUUCUCCACAUUCACCCCUUCUGAGCCCCACCACCAGGUCCAUAGGAGGAGGUGGGUGAGCAAGCUGCUCCCAAAUCUGCUGGAGUCUUCAUUCCAGUGGCCCACGUGAAUGCAGGGCUGGGGUGGGCUGUGUCCAGACCCUUGGGGAGGAGAGUGUCGGUGGGAACAAGAGACUCUCACAGACUCUGUGUUCAGCCUGCUGGAUGAGUAGGCCUGCCACUGCCAGGAAAGCUAGCCGGGGCUCAGGGCUGGGGUGGGGCCCUCCUCUGGAGGGGGAGGGACUGGCAUAGGGGCCAGAAGAUGCUAACAAGAGUGCCUUGGGCGGGCAGUAUUUAAGGAAAGGCCGGGCCACUGACUCUCUCGCCCAUCUGCCUCC